ACGCCUUAUACAUGCAAGUCGAACGAAGUAGCAAUACUUAGUGGCAGACGGGUGAGUAACAUGUGGGUAUCUUCCCUUUGGUGAGGAAUAACACGAGGAAACUUGUGCUAAUACCUCAUAAGUCUUUACGGAGAAAGCUUUAUGCGCCAUUGGAUGAGCCUGCACUUGAUUAGUUAGUUGGUGGGGUAAAGGCCUACCAAGACUUUGAUCAAUAGCUGAUUUGAGAGGAUGAUCAGCCACAUUGGGACUGAGACACGGCCCAAACUCCUACGGGAGGCAGCAGUAAGGAAUCUUGCACAAUGGAGGAAACUCUGAUGCAGCGAUGCCGCGUGAGUGAAGAAGGCCUUUGGGUUGUAAAGCUCUUUCGUCGGGGAAGAAAAUGACUGUACCCGAAUAAGAAGGUCCGGCUAACUUCGUGCCAGCAGCCGCGGUAAUACGAAGGGACCUAGCGUAGUUCGGAAUUACUGGGCUUAAAGAGUUCGUAGGUGGUUAAAAAAGUUGGUGGUGAAAUCCCAGAGCUUAACUCUGGAACUGCCAUCAAAACUUUUUAGCUAGAGUUUGAUAGAGGAAAGCAGAAUUUCUAGUGUAGAGGUGAAAUUCGUAGAUAUUAGAAAGAAUACCAAUUGCGAAGGCAGCUUUCUGGAUCAUUACUGACACUGAGGAACGAAAGCAUGGGUAGCGAAGAGGAUUAGAUACCCUCGUAGUCCAUGCCGUAAACGAUGUGUGUUAGACGUUGGAAAUUUAUUUUCAGUGUCGCAGCGAAAGCGAUAAACACACCGCCUGGGGAGUACGACCGC
rnacentral:rRNA from 1 species